GUCAUGCAUAAUAAAAUUCCAAUAUAUUUGACCGUACGUACGUACGCCUUUGCCUUCGCCUUCGCCUUGUCUUGUCUUCGUUUCUCCUUCUCCGAUUGCGGAUCCUUAUCAAACACGAAAAGUGACGUGAGCCUCCUCCAACUCCAUCUCCAUAUCCCACUCAAAACUUCGUAGCCGAAACGUAGAAGAUGAGACACAGGACAGUCCGCACACACCCAUAGGAAAGUGUUGGGUUUUAUUGGCCAACGGGCAUUUGAUGCUCCAGCAAGUCCGAUGAUGACACUGACCCACUGAAGAGUCAAGACCAAGCCCAGGUUCGGCUUGAGGUCCCCAGGCAAUAGCAAGGUGAGACAGACGCCUCACUCAAUUG
rnacentral:lncRNA from 1 species